rnacentral:rRNA from 1 species
GUGCCAGCCGCCGCGGUAAUACGUAGGCAGCAAGCGUUGUUCGGAAUUACUGGGCGUAAAGAGUGUGUAGGCGGUGCUCCAAGUCUGGUGUGAAAUCUCCCGGCUCAACUGGGAGGGUGCAUUAGAAACUGGAAUGCUAGAGGAUGGGAGAGGUAAGCGGAAUUCCUGGUGUAGCGGUGAAAUGCGUAGAUAUCAGGAGGAACACCUGUGGUGUAGACAGCUUACUGGACCAUUUCUGACGCUGAGACACGAAAGCGUGGGUAGCAAACAGGAUUAGAUACCCUAGUAGUCC